AUUUACUUUAAAUUUAAAGAAUUUGGCGGUAGUUUAGUCUAUUCAGAGGAACUUGUUUAAAUAAAAUUAAUCGAUACGCCCCGUUUUAUCUUACUUGUUUUAAAGGCUUGUAUACCGUCAUUUUAAGAUAAUUUUAUUAAAAAGAAAAUUAUUAUAAGUAAUUAGAGUUAAAGAAAUUAGAUCAUGGUGCAGCUAAUGGGCAAGUUAUAAAUGAGUUACAAUAAAGUUUAUUUAUAUGGAAUAUGUGUUGAAAAUUAUUAUGAAGGAGGAUUUGAUUGUAAUUUAAAUUUAAUAAAUUUAAGAGAGAUGAGCUCUAAAUUAUGUACACAUCGC
rnacentral:rRNA from 1 species